GGCUUAGAGUUUGAUCAUGGCUCAGGACGAACGCUGGCGGCGUGCCUAAUACAUGCAAGUCGAGCGAACAGAAAAGGAGCUUGCUCCUUUGACGUUAGCGGCGGACGGGUGAGUAACACGUGGGCAACCUACCUUAUAGUUUGGGAUAACUCCGGGAAACCGGGGCUAAUACCGAAUAAUCUCUCUUGCUUCAUGGCGAGAGACUGAAAGACGGUUUCGGCUGUCGCUAUAGGAUGGGCCCGCGGCGCAUUAGCUAGUUGGUGAGGUAACGGCUCACCAAGGCGACGAUGCGUAGCCGACCUGAGAGGGUGAUCGGCCACACUGGGACUGAGACACGGCCCAGACUCCUACGGGAGGCAGCAGUAGGGAAUCUUCCACAAUGGGCGAAAGCCUGAUGGAGCAACGCCGCGUGAGUGAAGAAGGUUUUCGGAUCGUAAAACUCUGUUGUAAGGGAAGAACAAGUACAGUAGUAACUGGCUGUACCUUGACGGUACCUUAUUAGAAAGCCACGGCUAACUACGUGCCAGCAGCCGCGGUAAUACGUAGGUG
rnacentral:rRNA from 1 species